rnacentral:rRNA from 1 species
AAUGUGCGGCGGUGGAUAGGCAUGCAAGUCGAACGAACUUCCGGGGCAACUCGGAGGUGAGUGGCGAAAGGGGCAUUAAGGCAUGGGUAACGUACCCCCUGGUCUGGGAUAGCCUCGGGAACCUGAGGGUAAUACCAGGUAACGUGCAGGCGUCGCAUGGCGCCAUCACCAGAGGUCAGCCGCCGGGGGAGCGGCCCAUGUAGUAUUAGCUUGUUGGCGGGGUAACGGCCCACCAAGGCAAAGAUGCUUAGCGGGUGUGAGAGCACGACCCGCGCCACUGGCACUGAGACACUGGCCAGACUCCUACGGGAGGCUGCAGUCGAGGAUCUUCGGCAAUGGGCGCAAGCCUGACCGAGCGACGCCGCGUGUGCGAUGAAGGCCUUCGGGUUGUAAAGCACUUUGGCGGGGGAGGAAAGCCCGAAAGGGUCUGACCUAUCCCGAGAACAAGCACG